rnacentral:rRNA from 1 species
GGCGGACGGGUGAGUAACGCGUGGGUAACCUGCCUUAUACUGGGGGAUAACAUUCUGAAAAGGAUGCUAAUACCGCAUAAGCGCACAGUGUCGCAUGACACAGUGUGAAAAACUCCGGUGGUAUAAGAUGGACCCGCGUCUGAUUAGCUAGUUGGUGAGAUAAUAGCUCACCAAGGCAACGAUCAGUAGCCGACCUGAGAGGGUGAUCGGCCACAUUGGGACUGAGACACGGCCCAAACUCCUACGGGAGGCAGCAGUGGGGAAUAUUGCACAAUGGGGGAAACCCUGAUGCAGCGACGCCGCGUGAAGGAUGAAGGUUUUCGGAUCGUAAACUUCUAUCAGCAGGGAAGAAAAUGACUGUACCUGACUAAGAAGCCCCGGCUAACUACGUGCCAGCAGCCGCGGUAAUACGUAGGGGGCAAGCGUUAUCCGGAAUUACUGGGUGUAAAGGGUGCGUAGGCGGUUUGCUAAGUUAGGUGUGAAAGCCCGGGGCUCAACCUCGGGACUGCACUUAAAACUGGCAAACUAGAAUACAGGAGAGGUAAGUGGAAUUCCUAGUGUAGCGGUGAAAUGCGUAGAUAUUAGGAGGAACACCAGUGGCGAAGGCGACUUACUGGACUGUUAUUGACGCUGAGGCACGAAAGCGUGGG